rnacentral:misc_RNA from 1 species
GAUUAAGAACGUAGCGAAAUGCGAUAAGUAAUGUGAAUUGCAGAAUUCAGUGAAUCAUCGAAUCUUUGAACGCACAUUGCGCCCUCUGGUAUUCCGGGGGGCAUGCCUGUUCGAGCGUCAUUAUAACCACUCAAGCUCUCGCUUGGUAUUGGGGUUCGCGGUUCCGCGGCCCCUAAAAUCAGUGGCGGUGCCUGUCGGCUCUACGCGUAGUAAUACUCCUCGCGAUUGAGUCCGGUAGGUCUACUUGCCAGCAACCCCCAAUUUUUACAGGUUGACCUCGGAUCAGGUAGGGAUACCCGCUGAACUUAAGCAUAUCAAUAAGCGGAGGA